rnacentral:rRNA from 1 species
CCUACGGGCGGCAGCAGUGGGGAAUAUUGGGCAAUGGGCGCAAGCCUGACCCAGCAAAGCCGCGUGCAGGAAGAAGGCUUUCGGGUUGUAAACUUCUUUUCUGAGGGACGAAGAAAGUGACGGUACCUCAGGAAUAAGCAACGGCUAACUACGUGCCAGCAGCCGCGGUAAUACGUAGGUGGCAAGCGUUAUCCGGAUUUAUUGGGGGUAAAGGGCGUGUAGGCGGGAAAGCAAGUCAGAUGUGAAAACUCAGGGCUCAACCCUGAGCUUACAGUUGAAACUGUUUUUCUUGAGUGCUGGAGAGGCAAUCGGAAUUCCGUGUGUAGCGGUGAAAUGCGUAGAUAUACGGAGGAACACCAGUGGCGAAGGCGGAUGGCUGGACAGUAACUGACGCUGAGGCGCGAAAGCGUGGGGAGCAAACAGGAUUAGAUACCCCGGUAGUC